UACGUAGGGUGCGAGCGUUAAUCGGAAUUACUGGGCGUAAAGCGUGCGCAGGCGGUUCGUUGUGUCCGUCGGUGAAAGCCCGGGCUUAACCUGGGAACUGCGAUGGAAACUAGCGAGCUGGAGUGUGGCAGAGGGGGUGGAAUUCCGCGUGUAGCAGUGAAAUGCGUAGAGAUGCGGAGGAACACCGAUGGCGAAGGCAGCCCCCUGGGUUAACACUGACGCUCAGGCACGAAAGCGUGGGGAGCAAACAGG
rnacentral:rRNA from 1 species